CAGUGUUUCCUGCCCUCACGGGUAGAAACCCCACCCUUGUAUAAUAUAUUUUGUUGCUUCGGCAGGCCACUCUUCGGAGUGUGGGCUUCGGUCUACCGUGCCUGUCAAAGGACCUAAAACUCUGUCUUAUAGUGUCGUCUGAGUACUAUAUAAUAGUUAAAACUUUCAACAACGGAUCUCUUGGUUCUGGCAUCGAUGAAGAACGCAGCGAAAUGCGAUAAGUAAUGUGAAUUGCAGAAUUCAGUGAAUCAUCGAAUCUUUGAACGCACAUUGCGCCCCUUGGUAUUCCGAGGGGCAUGCCUGUUCGAGCGUCAUUUUGACCAACUCCUAUUCUUUUAUAGGGUCUUGGGUUAUGCCUUUCUAGGCAGGCCUUAAAACCAGUGGCGGUGCUAUAUAGCUCUACGCGUAGUAAUACUUCUCGCUAUAGAUGUUAUAUGGUAUCUUGCCAACAACCCCCAACUUCUUAAAGG
rnacentral:misc_RNA from 1 species